UGGGGAAUUUUGGACAAUGGGCGAAAGCCUGAUCCAGCAAUGCCGCGUGUGUGAAGAAGGCCUUCGGGUUGUAAAGCACUUUUGUCCGGAAAGAAAUCCUUGGCUCUAAUACAGUCGGGGGAUGACGGUACCGGAAGAAUAAGCACCGGCUAACUACGUGCCAGCAGCCGCGGUAAUACGUAGGGUGCAAGCGUUAAUCGGAAUUACUGGGCGUAAAGCGUGCGCAGGCGGUUUGCUAAGACCGAUGUGAAAUCCCCGGGCUCAACCUGGGAACUGCAUUGGUGACUGGCAGGCUAGAGUAUGGCAGAGGGGGUAGAAUUCCACGUGUAGCAGUGAAAUGCGUAGAGAUGUGGAGGAAUACCGAUGGCGAAGGCAGCCCCUGGCCAAGUACUGACGCUCAUGCACGAAAGCGUGGGGAGCAAACAGGAUUAGAUACCCUGGUAGUCCACGCCCUAAACGAUGUCAACUAGUUGUUGGGGAUUCAUUUCCUUAGUAACGUAGCUAACGCGUGAAGUUGACCGCCUGGGGAGUACGGUCGCAAGAUUAAAACUCAAAUGAAUUGACGGGGUCAUAGCUGUUUCCU
rnacentral:rRNA from 1 species